CCUCCCCGAGCCCCGCUGCCUCCCGCCUCCCUCCUCCCCGGCGCCCGCCUCCCCGCGGCGUGCCCGCCUCCCUCCCUCCGUCCCCCGGCCGGCAGCCGGGCAGCGGGCGGGCGCUGCCGCCGGCCCCACAGCACCGCGGCCGGGCUGCGCGGAGCGGAGCGGAGCGGAGCGGGGCUGGCUGGGCGGGGAGGGAGGGAGGGAGGGGAGUGGAUGUGUGUGUGUGUGGAAAGAGCGGGGGGGGGCGAAGGGGGGGAAAUCAAAUAAAUAAAUAAGCUCCCCACCAAUAAGAGAGGCAGCGGCUGGCGAGCAGGCUGGGCUCGGCUGGGAGAGGUCCUCGCUCGGCUGCGUGUUUGUUUGUGUUGUGACCAGAGCCGCGAAGUUCAGAGCCCAAACGUGUUGCUCCGCUCCGCUCCACCUGCUCGGCCGGCGGGGGGGUGCCGCUUCGGCCGCCCCGCCGCCCUCCGGGGCCGAAGGACGGGAGAGGAGCGCGGGGCCGCGCCCGCCGCCCGCCCGCCUUCCCCUCAGCCACCGCCGGGGAGGCGACGGACAGGAACCCAGAUGUCAGAUUUUUAACAGAGCUGUGUAUUAUGGUCAUUGGAGAAAAGCCUGAAGAAGACAGGCUGUGCAUCCAGUCUUGAUAGACUCGGCAAUUAGAAAAAAAAAGUCUCGAGCAAGUGAGCUAAAAGCUUAGCUGUGGUGGGAUCCAAG
rnacentral:lncRNA from 1 species